GUGUCAGCAGCCGCGGUAAUACGUAGGGGGCAAGCGUUGUCCGGAUUUAUUGGGCGUAAAGAGCGUGUAGGCGGCCAGACAGGUCCGUUGUGAAAACUGGAGGCUCAACCUCCAGACGUCGAUGGAAACCGUCUGGCUAGAGUCCGGAAGAGGAGAGUGGAAUUCCUGGUGUAGCGGUGAAAUGCGCAGAUAUCAGGAAGAACACCCGUGGCGAAAGCGGCUCUCUGGGACGGUACUGACGCUGAGACGCGAAAGCGUGGGGAGCGAACAGGAUUAGAUACCCCUGUAGUCC
rnacentral:rRNA from 1 species